rnacentral:lncRNA from 1 species
AGGGCACUCAAGGAAGGCAUGUUCAGACCCUGUUCUCCGAUAGUAGACUGAGAGGAUAGAAAGAGAGAGGGGGGGAGUUGUUCCCUUUUGUGCAGAGGACUAGUGAUGGAUUGACUUUUCCAAUAUUUACUGUGCUCAGCAGCUCUUAAUCCAGCCCAGGUGAACCAUGGGCCUUCCCCUCACCACAGCCCAGCAAGCCAUGAGUGUCCAUUUAAUCACCAGCACAGAAAUUAGAUCCAACAGCCACUGCUCUAAAGACCUUUAAAUAUGCAGUGUACUGUAGAAGAGAAGAACCAGGGAGAUACAACAAUGCAAAACAUCAACAAACAACAGCAACAAGGACAACAACAACAUAUAAUAGCAUAAAAAAACAGGUACUUUUCCCUCUGCAUACCAUAGCUGCUUUAUACUGUAAGCUCAGGGAGAAAGGUUAGGAACCAAAGUUUUUAAAGAGAGUAUACCACUAAAUGUUUAAUUUGGGUCAAACUCAGUAAGAACAGACACUAUCCAUGUGGCCUAUUUAACCCUUUUAGUAGCCGCAGCAAAUACUUACGGCUGAGCAUAAAAUACUCUUCUGAUGAGACAGCGUUUGGGAGUGUUACUAAUCCACACGUGGUUGAAAUUAGGUUGCAGGGCUACGUCAGCAAAGCCUAUUGCAUAUUUCAAUUCUUAAAGCGGGUGUGAAGGUGAAGCGCUGUCAGACGUACUUUUGCAAAUAGCGUGCAAGUGAAACUAAUCUUGCCAAAAUAGAUUAGGCACUGUGAGUGAACAUGGCCCAAUUUACCAUCUGCUUGCCCGCAAGUGUAGAGAUGUUGGUGGACCAGAGAAACAAAAAUGACAAUAAAGCAGACAUACUUCGGGAAUCCAAAUUGCCCUUAAACUGGGAACACAGUGGGAACACAGAUUGGGAUCUGGACCAGUGACUGUUGUGACUCCAAUUAUAUAUAAUGCUUCUUCUAAUGAACUCAUUACCACCAUAGUGACAGCUAGGACUGCUCUGUUUAUGUUAUGACAUAAUGUGUAAUAAUAACUAAAUGCUUUUGGCCACUGUCACAAUUAUGCAUUUUAAAUACUAAGAUGACAUAACAGUGUCAUAACAACUUUGUGUCAAUAGCAGAGCUGGUCCUAGAUGGCCCUAUACAGGCCCUCUGGGAUCUAGUUGCACAACGCUUCCUGGUUCACUCUCAUUUACGUUGGACAAUGAGAAGGUUGUCCUUGCAGACAGGGUUAGGGUCGUGGUCGAGGCUAGGGUUAAGCUUGAACCAGGAUGUGGACAUGAAGCUAGGGUUAGGGUUGUGGUUGAGGCUAAGUUUAGGCUUGAACCAGGAUGGGGACAUUAAGCUAAGGUUAGGGUUUAGUGUUAGAGUUGAAUCAGGAAGUGGACAUGAAGCUAAGAUUGUGGUUGAGACUAGGUGUAACAUGCUGGAUAUGAACCCAGGUGUCUCACAGGUGCGACCAACGUUUUAGACCAUUAGACCAAUAGAAAAUUCCCUCUUGGGCUUAGGGCUGACACUGGUUUUGAAGUUUGCAUGCGGGGCUACCUCAUCAUGUGACCAUGACCUCUACAUAAGGUUAAGCUUGAACUGGGAUGUGGACAUGAGGCUCGGGUUAGGGUUGUGGUUGUGGUUGAGGGUUAGGGUUGCACCGGGAUGUGGACAUGAGGCUAGGGUUAGGGUUAGGGUUGUGGUUGCACCGGGAUGUGGACAUGAGGCUAGGGUUAGGGUUAGGGUUGCACCGGGAUGUGGACAUGAGGCUAGGGUUAGGGUUGUGGUUGAGGGUUAGGGUUGAACCGGGAUGUGGACAUGAGGCUAGGGUUAGGGUUGGUAGGAAUAUGAGCAUAGAGAAGGCGACAGUCAAAAUACCUCCAAUGUGCCUGUUAAUUUGACCCUUUAUUACAGCUAAGAGAGAGGGCUUACUUCACAUCAGGCAUGUAGGCUUUCCAUUUUUCAUUUCCCUGUCUCUUCCAUUCGAUGACACAGACUUUGUUUGGGUAAGGCCAACCUGGUAGUUGAUUUAAUAAAACCUGCAAGCCCUACUGGACUGGAUUGUGGUGUGUUCUGGAAGCGAUGGGCUCUGAGCUUCAAUCGCUCCGAGCUUCAAAUCAGCAGGAGGGUGACUAACACAUUACACCACUACGUUCCAAUGAAUACACUAGAAAAGGAAAUUUCCUGAAGAAAAUGUGGUGCUCGUUCCUUUUUAAGUGUAUUCAUGUGGAUAAGUGGUAGAGAUAAGUGGUAGAGGUAGUGGCAGUGAAGGAAAUAGUAUAAGUAGUAAUGGUAGUUAUAUGGUUUUUAUGGUCUACAGUUAUAGUAACCUACUUGGGGGUGGUUUGUAGGUGUAGAGUUAUUAUAGUGGGUUAUAGCUUGUAGUAAUGGUAGUGGUAGUAGUGGGGACUGUGGCAGUAGUGGUGGUGGCGGUAGUAGUAGUAGUAGUAGUAGUAGUAGUAGUGGUAGUUACUGCAAUAGUAGUGGUAUUAGUAGUGACUGUGGUAAAUUAUAGCAAGAAGCUUUAUUGAAACAAUCAACAACAACAACAAAAAUAACUCUGUACUCCCUGGACCAGAGCUCGUUAAUACGUACCAAAACUAGACCAAAUGCUAGCUACACCUUGGACCAGAACUGGACCAGAGCUAGAGCGGACCAAAGCUAGAGCAGACCAGAGCUAGCUAUCUAGCUACUAGCUACACCCUGGACCAGAGCUAGUUAGUGCGGACCAGAGCUAGACCACAGCUUUUGCAGAACAAAGCUAGCUAGCUACUCUCUACACCUUGGACCAGAGCUAGUUAGUACAGACCAGAGCUAGACCAGAGCUAGUGUGAACCAUAACUAGCUAGCUACUAGCUAUGCCCAGGACAAGAGCUAGUGCAGACCAGAGCAUUAGUUGUGGUUAGUAGUUGUGGUCAAUAGUUGUGGUUAGUAGUUGUGUGGUCAGUAGUUGUGGCUAGUAGUUGUGGUCAGUACUUGUGUGGUUGUGGUCAGUAGUUGUGUUGUUCAGUAGUUAUGUGGUUGUGGUCAAUAGUUGUGUGGUCAGUAGUUGUGGUCAGCAGAUGUGUGGUUGUGGUCUUUAGAUGUGGUCAGUAGUUAUGGUCAGUAAUUGUUUUAUUGUGGUCAGUAGUUGUGUGGUCAGUAGUUGUGUAGUUAUGGUCAGUAGUUGUGUGGUUGUGGUCAGUAGUUGUGUGGUUCAGUGGUUAUGUGGUCAGUAGUUGUGGUCAGUACUUGUGUGGUUGUGGUCAGUAGUUGUGUUGUUCAGUAGUUAUGUGGUUGUGGUCAGUAGUUGUGUGGUUGUGGUCAGUAGUUGUGUGGUCAGUAGUUGUGUGGUUGUGGUCAGUAGUUGUGUGGUUGUGGUCAGUAGUUGUGUGGUCAGUAGUUGUGUGGUUGUGGUCAGUAGAUGCGUGGUUGUGGUCAGUAGUUGUGUGGUCAGUAGUUGUGUUGUUCAGUAGUUAAGUGGUUGUGGUCAGUAGUUGUGUGGUUGUGGUCAGUAGUUGUGUGGUCAGUAGUUGUGUGGUUGUGGUCAGUAGUUGUGUGGUCAGUAGUUGUGUGGUUGUGGUCAGUAGUUGUAUGGUCAGUAGUUGUGGUCAGUCGUUGUGUGGUUGUGGUCAGUAGUUGUGUGGUCAGUAGUUGUGUGGUUGUGGUCAGUAGUUGUGUGGUCAGUAGCUGUGGUCAGUAGUUGUGUGGUUGUGGUCAGUAGUUGUGUGGUCAGUAGUUGUGUGGUUGUGGUCUUUAGAUGUGGUCAGUAGUUAUAGUCAGUAAUUGUUUUAUUGUGGUCAGUAGUUGUGUGGUCAGCAGUUGUGUGGUAGUGGUCAGUAGUUGUGGUCAGUAGUUGGGUGGUUGUGGUCAGUAGUUGUAUGGUCAGUAGUUGUGUGGUUGUGGUCAGAAGUUCUGUGGUCAGUAGUUGUGUGGUUGUGGUCUUUAGAUGUGGUCAGUAGUUAUAGUCAGUAAUUGUUUUAUUGUGGUCAGUAGUUGUGUGGUCAGCAGUUCUGUGGUAGUGGUCAGUAGUUGUGGUCAGUAGUUGGGUGGUUGUGGUCAGUAGUUGUAUGGUCAGUAGUUGUGUGGUUGUGGUCAGUAGUUGUGGUCAGAAGUUGUUUGGUCUGUAGUUGUAGUUGUGGUCAAUAUUUGUGUGGUUGUAGUCAGUAUUGGCGUGGUCAGUAAGAGACCUUUCUUUUUUUGCUGAGUUUAGUAUGAAAAGUAUGCAUAGUAUUUUCGAGCAACACUACCAGUGCCAGUCUGCAUGUUUUAAAGUUGAAAGUUUAUUUAUUGUAUGAUUGAUAGGAUAGCCUGAACAUGUGUAAGUGUCACGGUUUUUGUCGGUAAUGGAGGACCAAAACGCAGCAGGUAUGUGUAAGCUCAUCUUGACGUUUAUUAACUUCCCAAAAUAACAAAACAAGUGAACGAACGAUAUACAGACAGUCUUGCAAGGCGCAAGGCACAAGGCUAAACACAGAACAAUCUCCCACAAACACACAGACAAACACACCCAACUAAUAUAGGACUUCCAAUCAAAGGCAACACCACACAGCUGCCUUCAAUUGGAAGUCCACCCCAAUUAACUCUACAUAGAAACACACUUACUAGACUACACAUAGAAAUACAUAAACAUAGACCAUAAACCAAAAACCCGGAAAUACUAAAUCAAACACCCUUUUACCAAAACACCACCCCGGACCACAUAAAACAAAUACCCUCUGCCACAUCCUGACCAAACUACAAUAACAAUUAACCCUUAUACCGGCCAGGACGUGACAGUAAGUUGGUUUGGUGUCUCUAGUUUGAACAGUUCAAGAGUUACCGUUGUGGGUAUUCAUGCAAAUGUGUAUAAUUCUAAAAAAUGUGAAGUUAUCAUAGCCUGAACAUUUGAAAGUCGUUUUUUUAUAGCUUAAAUUGGCCAUUUUGAAAAGCGA